AUUGAACGCUGGCGGCAUGCCUUACACAUGCAAGUCGAACGGCAGCGGGGGAGAAGCUUGCUUUUCCUGCCGGCGAGUGGCGAACGGGUGAGUAAUACAUCGGAACGUGCCCUGUAGUGGGGGAUAACUGGUCGAAAGAUUAGCUAAUACCGCAUACGACCUGAGGGUGAAAGUGGGGGACCGCAAGGCCUCAUGCUAUAGGAGCGGCCGAUGUCUGAUUAGCUAGUUGGUGGGGUAAAGGCCCACCAAGGCGACGAUCAGUAGCUGGUCUGAGAGGACGAUCAGCCACACUGGGACUGAGACACGGCCCAGACUCCUACGGGAGGCAGCAGUGGGGAAUUUUGGACAAUGGGCGAAAGCCUGAUCCAGCAAUGCCGCGUGUGUGAAGAAGGCCUUCGGGUUGUAAAGCACUUUUGUCCGGAAAGAAAUGGCUCUGGUUAAUACCUGGGGUCGAUGACGGUACCGGAAGAAUAAGGACCGGCUAACUACGUGCCAGCAGCCGCGGUAA
rnacentral:rRNA from 1 species